AAAAUUUUAAGUUAAUUAAACUAUUAACCUUCAAAGUUAAAAAUAUAUAUGUAAUUUGUAUAAAUUUUA
rnacentral:tRNA from 1 species